AUUGAACGCUGGCGGCAGGCCUAACACAUGCAAGUCGAGCGGUAGAGAGGUGCUUGCACCUCUUGAGAGCGGCGGACGGGUGAGUAAUGCCUAGGAAUCUGCCUGGUAGUGGGGGACAACGCUCGGAAACGGACGCUAAUACCGCAUACGUCCUACGGGAGAAAGCAGGGGACCUUCGGGCCUUGCGCUAUCAGAUGAGCCUAGGUCGGAUUAGCUAGUUGGUGAGGUAAUGGCUCACCAAGGCGACGAUCCGUAACUGGUCUGAGAGGAUGAUCAGUCACACUGGAACUGAGACACGGUCCAGACUCCUACGGGAGGCAGCAGUGGGGAAUAUUGGACAAUGGGCGAAAGCCUGAUCCAGCCAUGCCGCGUGUGUGAAGAAGGUCUUCGGAUUGUAAAGCACUUUAAGUUGGGAGGAAGGGUCGUUACCUAAUACGUGACGAUUUUGACGUUACCGACAGAAUAAGCACCGGCUAACUCUGUGCCAGCAGCCGCUGUAA
rnacentral:rRNA from 1 species